rnacentral:misc_RNA from 1 species
UACGUAGGGGGCAAGCGUUGUCCGGGUUUACCGGGCGUAAAGAGUGCGCAGGCGGUCGUUCAAGUCGAGUGUGAAAGCCCCCGGCUCAACUGGGGAGGGUCAUUCGAUACUGAUCGACUCGAAGGCAGGAGAGGGAAGUGGAAUUCCCGGUGUAGUGGUGAAAUGCGUAGAUAUCGGGAGGAACACCAGUGGCGAAGGCGACUUCCUGGCCUGUUCUUGACGCUGAGGCGCGAAAGCUAGGGGAGCAAACGGG